UGAAAUGUUGUCCAAUACAGUAAACAGACCAGUGAACUGACAUAUAGACCUACUUUUGUCUGUGUUUCUGUAUUAAUUAUGGAAAUCCCUAGCUUGUGUUUUGCAUUUUGAUUUUGGUUAAGUCUUCCCUCAGUAUAAACCCAAAAGUACAAAUAUCAUUUUUUUUCUUACCAACCAGACCAAUGGCAAAUUUAGUUCCCAAGUACCAAAGGAAUUCCAAGAUUUAUCAAAAGAAAGGAUUUGGGAGAAAUUGCUGUGCUGACUUCUUGCUUUAAAGAUGGUUUUACAGAAUGCAUCAUCCCCUCUAAAGAGAAGUGUGAGGCAGUAGUAAAAAAUGGAGCUUGGAAGGGCUUGCGUCUUUUAAAAAAGAUGUGUGUAACAUCAGGAUAUGAGAAUGACCAUGGAAAAUAAGACUUGUUUUCCUUUUCUGACAGUCCAGUUGGUACAUGGAACGUAUCAUAAGAUUUACUGGCUGAACUACAAUGGUUUUGGUAGCUUAAAAUAACAGCAGACAGCUUUGCUUAAACCACAGCCUUUUUUGAACAUGUGUAAAAUAUCUGUCCAGUUUCUUUAAUACAGGAGAAAUAGUAAUAAAAUGAUCACUGCAUAAAAGUUUUGACACACAAGUUGUGAAGUUGGGGUUACAGUUUCUACUUCUCGUUAGUCUGUUUCACCGGUGCAGAAACAUUAAAUAGUUUGUUACUGUUGACAUAAGGUAAUUUAGGAAAUUUUGAUUUACUGUGAGACCCAAAUGAGGUAUUUUCAUGGGUGGAUUUACAGGAAAUUAUUUUGGGAACUGAAGCCUCCAAAGUAGAACUCAGGCAGAUGAUUUGGGUCUGUUAGCAAUGAAGACUAUGCUCUGCAAGACCACAGGUUACCCCUAGUCCUAGUUGCAUUAUUCAGGUUAACCAGUUAUUUACAAAAACUGGUAAUAAACAUAGAUUUUGUUCACCCUGCAAAGUUACUCUUGUAUUUCUGAACACACUAAAAAUUAGUAAAUUUGAAUCUCUAAUGUUACUGUUAAAUCAGCCAAGGCAGUUUUCUAGCAAACCAAAAGUUUAAGAAAAAAAGAUAGGUUUUUCAAAACAUUUAAUGUUGUGCUGCUAUCUCCUCUGAACUUUCAUACCUGAUCUCCACUAUCACAAGGUGAAAGAGGAAGCUGAAUAGGAAGAGCACAGGUCUG